rnacentral:rRNA from 1 species
UACGUAGGGUGCGAGCGUUGUCCGGAAUUAUUGGGCGUAAAGAGCGUGUAGGCGGCCAUGUAGGUCCGUUGUGAAAACUCGAGGCUCAACCUCGAGACGCCGAUGGAAACCAUGUGGCUAGAGUCCGGAAGAGGAGAGUGGAAUUCCUGGUGUAGCGGUGAAAUGCGCAGAUAUCAGGAAGAGCACCCGUGGCUAAGGCGGCUCUCUAGUACGGUACUGACGCUGAGACGCGAAAGCGUGGGGAGCGAACAGG